UUGACCUCGGAUCAGGUAGGGAUACCCGCUGAACUUAAGCAUAUCAAUAAGCGGAGGAAAAGAAACCAACCGGGAUUGCCUCAGUAACUGCGAGUGAAGUGGCAAAAGCUCAAAAUUGAAAUCCGGUACCUUUGGUGCCUGAGUUGUAAUUUGGAGAGACAAAUUUGGUUGAUGGCACCGGCCUAGGUUCCUUUGAACAGGACAACAUAGAGGGUGAGAAUCCCGUGCCUGGCUGGGUUAUUUGCUGUCACAGGCUAAAUUGUCUUCGACGAGUCGAGUUGUUUGGGAAUGCAGCUCAAAAUGGGUGGUAAAUGUCAUCUAAAGCUAAAUAUUGGCGAGAGACCGAUAGCGCACAAGUAGAGUGAUCGAAAGAUGAAAAGCACUUUGAAAAGAGAGUCAAAAAGUACGUGAAAUUGCUGAAAGGGAAGCGCUUGAGAUCAGACUCGAGCUGUGGUGAUCACCCGUGCUUCUGUGCGGUGUAACUUGCCACGGUUUGGGCCAGCAUCGGUUCUGGCGGUCGGAUAAAAGGUGGAGGAAUGUAGCUUCCUUUGGGGAGUGUUAUUUAGCCUCCACCACAAUGCGGCCAGCUGGGACCGAGGACUGCGUGGAAAUUUUCUGCUAGGAUGCUGGCGUAAUGGUCUUAAGCGACCCGUCUUGAAACACGGACCAAGGAGUCUAACAUUUAUGCGAGUGUUCGGGUGGAAAAACCCUUGCGCGAAAUGAAAGUGAACCCAGGUGGGAACCCGCAAGGGUGCACCAUCGACCGAUCCCGAAGUCUUCGGAAGGAUUUGAGUAGGAGCACAGAUGUUGGGACCCGAAAGAUGGUGAACUAUGCCUGAAUAGGGUGAAGCCA
rnacentral:rRNA from 1 species